CAGUGAUAUGAUCUUUCAAACUAAUUUUUGCAUGAACAUUUUUUUUUAUUCUAUAAAUAAAUUUAACAUCCUAUUUUUAUUUUUCAUCCCAUUAUUGGUAAAAGUUAAGUUUAUACCAGGGUAAUCGAGGGAGAAUUAUAGAAGAGGCGCUCGGAUAGACCAGGAAUAUACAUAUUAAAAAAGAAGCGGUCCUACUACGCUGCCCUAAGUUACAGUCCUAUUAAUCUCGGCAAUUAAUGACAGGAAAGAAAUGUAAAAUACGCACUGCUUUCUAUUAUCGAGAUAUGACUUUAAGUAUCGUGUCGUGGUUUAUGGUAUCGAAUGUCUUUUUUUUAGCAAAAUAAGACAAGUAUAAUUAUUUUUUAUCUCAAACUAUAGUUAUGUCAUCAGUAAUAUGUAGCAAUGUUGUCGUAUGGAAGGAAUAAUUUAAACAGCUUUUUAAUAUAAAUUUGUCUGGUCUUUAACUAUUCUUUUACAAUUCUAAAACAAGAACAAGGUUAAGUCAACAAAUUAAUCCCGUUAUGAACUGUAGCAUUGACACUAAAAACUGGAGAGAAAGAAAAUACAUUAGAUCUUAUAUU